ACCCAGGGCCUUGCGCUUGCUAGGCAAGCGCUCUACCACUGAGCUAAAUCCCCAACCCCCUGGCUUUUCUUAAGACAGGUUCAAACUUAACUGUGUAGCAGAUGACCUUGAAUUCCUGAAUACUGAGACGAGAUCCCAAUCGAGUACCACCACAUCUCAGGUUUUUUGUUGGUUGGUCUUUGAGACCAUCUCGAUGCAAUCUGUUCUGGUUGAGAACUUUCCAUCCCCCUGCCUCAGCCUCUUCAGUGUUAGAAUUUCAAGUAUGUACCACCAACCCUAGCCAUUAACUCUGUUAAUGUGGGAAUCGGGUCAAGUUUAAGUCCAGACUGCACAGCUGUUGCAGACAUCACUGUUGAUUUCUUCCUUCACACCCACCGCAUGCCUGCGCCUAUCCACUUGCCUGGCAUUGUAACUUGCCACUCUGUUGGCGGAUCCCCGGCUUCGGAUAGUUAUGACGCCUUUCUGCCUUGCUCAGCCUAACUGUAGUUUCAGAGUAAAAGGGAUCCGUUCAUUCUGGAGAGGAAUUGUGCUGAAAAAUAGAAUGCUGUCCUAGGGUUUGCACUCAGCUGUAGGAUUUUCCUCCAGAAAACUAUUAUCUCACUGUUAAGUUCUGAUGAAGUGUUUCUGGACUACUGUGUGUGUAAAAUUGAAACACAUGAGUUUUUAUUUAUUCAUUUAUUUUUUGAUUCCGGGCUAGGGCCGGAACCAUUGAUGCCACUGAACCAUAUCCUCAGUCCCUAGAUGUGUUGCUCAGGCUGGCCUCGAACUCAUGAUCCUCCUGCCUCUGCCUCCUUCAGCAAAUCCUACUGGCGUGUGCCACCACAACCACGCCAUAGAUGUGUCUAUUUAGAAUGUUGUUCAGAAAGUUCUCAUGGCUGGAGAUGUAGCUCAGGGAGUGACGUCCUGUAAUUUACCAGGGAAGGACUUUGAGUCUGGCUUGGGUGGAGUCCUUGCCUAGAAUCCUCCAGUGAGGGCUGGGACUUAGGGACAGUUGAGUGUCUCAAGUCAAAGGUCCUAGGAGCUGUGAUCCCACUGCAGUGGGAAGCAAUAGCUCUUUCCCUUGCUAUAACCAGACAUGGAACCUGAAGUGACAACCCCAUUUUGUGCUCCUGAAGGUCAAACCUGUUACCCAGCCUUAUCACUGGGAUGUGGAGUUUCAUUUCAGUUGUUUCUCAGUUUGGAGCUACAAGAUGUGAAGUGCUGUCUUCUGCCUCCCAUACCACCCAGCACAGCCUGAACAAGAUUCUCACCACCAAUCUCCCAAGGAGCACAGGCAAGGCUGGGACCUGGCUGAGGUGCAUGCAGAUGAAGUCCACCAAGAAAAAGUCAUGUAAGCCCUGGGGAAUCUACAAAGUCAUAAGACUGGGGUCCACCUCUCACAGUCAGACAGACUCCAGGUCCAGCAGAUACAGAAGAGCAGAUGGGAGACCCGGCCUUGUGGGAUGGAGUAACUACUGGAUUCCUGGACUUUCCAUCCACAGCUGGCUGUUGUUGGACGAGCUCGACUGCAACCUGUGAGUCAUUCCAACGAAUUCCCUUUACACGUAUAAUGGAAUCCUCACCUCUGUGACUCUAGAGAACCCCGUUCCAGCUGUCCUCAAACUUAGACCAGGCUGGCCUUGAACUUAUUCAUCUACUUGCUGGGAUUGAUGUUGUGCACCACAGUGGCAUGGCUUAGUCAUGGUGUUUAAUCACAGCAACAGAAAAGUAACUAGGAAGUUGGUAGCUGGGUGGUGGCAGUGUAUGCUUUUAGUCCCAGCAUUUGGGAGGAAGGCAGAGGCAGGCAGCUCUCUGAGAUCUCUGAGGCUGGUCUACAGAACAAAUUCCAGGACAGCCAUGGCCACACAGUGAAACUCUGUCUUGAAAAAA
rnacentral:sRNA from 1 species